UACGUAGGGUGCGAGCGUUGUCCGGAAUUAUUGGGCGUAAAGGGCUCGUAGGCGGUUUGUCGCGUUGUUCGUGAAAUCUCACGGCUUAACUGUGAGCGUGCGGGCGAUACGGGCAGACUAGAGUACUGCAGGGGAGACUGGAAUUCCUGGUGUAGCGGUGGAAUGCGCAGAUAUCAGGAGGGACACCGGUGGCGAAGGCGGGUCUCUGGGCAGUAACUGACGCUGAGGAGCGAAAGCGUGGGGAGCGAACAGG
rnacentral:rRNA from 1 species